GUGGAGCAUGCCUUGGUUCAGAAGGAAAGGUGACCAGAAAGUGACAGAGGAGAGUGAGCAGAGCUAAUAACACAGGUGUGGACUUUGAAUUAUUUGCUUGGUCUAUCACACUUCAUUUGGAAGGGUGUCCCCAAGAUCUGAAGAGUAUGUCUGGAUCAUGUCUUUCUGCUGUCUCU
rnacentral:miRNA from 14 species